CCUAUUUUGCACUUGGCUCCCAUUUCUACAUGAAUACGGGUUGCUACAUAAGUUGUCCAAUUGAACACCAUCCCUUCAAAUGUCCCUACCGCUAUAAACAUUAACCAUCUUGACAUAUAUGUGUUGUGUCGAUACAACCCUAGACGCCUUAGCACAAAGCGCAACCAUUCCAUGAGCUCUAGUGUAAUUGCCUCAACCGUCUGCCAACCUUGGUUCUUCUCAAAUGAUGACAUGCCACCUUUGAAAUAACUUC
rnacentral:lncRNA from 1 species